UCCAAGACUUUGCCGAAUCGCGCAUGUGCGCGUACGGGGGACUGAAGGCCUUUGGCCUUGGGGUGAAUCGCGCCGUGUGGCGCGAAGGGGACUCGUUACCCGAACCCGACAACUAACCUCGGAGGCGUAAACGAGAGGAUGG
rnacentral:sRNA from 2 species